rnacentral:rRNA from 1 species
UACCCUUGACAUGUCCGGAACCCUGCUGAGAGGUGGGGGUGCCCGAAAGGGAAUCGGAACACAGGUGCUGCAUGGCUGUCGUCAGCUCGUGUCGUGAGAUGUUGGGUUAAGUCCCGCAACGAGCGCAACCCUUGUCCCUAGUUGCUACGCAAGGGCACUCUAGGGAGACUGCCGGUGACAAACCGGAGGAAGGGUGGGGAUGACGUCAAGUCCUCAUGGCCCUUAUGGGUAGGCUUCACACGUCAUA